GACGAACGCUGGCGGCGUGCUUAACACAUGCAAGUCGAGCGGUAAGGCCCUUUCGGGGGUACACGAGCGGCGAACGGGUGAGUAACACGUGGGUGACCUGCCCCUUGCUCUGGGAUAAGCCUGGGAAACUGGGUCUAAUACCGGUAUAUGACCCUAUGGCGCAUGUUGUGGGGUGGAAAGCCUUUGUGCGGCUGGGGAUGGGCCCGCGGCCUAUCAGCUUGUUGGUGGGGUGAUGGCCUACCAAAGGCGA
rnacentral:rRNA from 1 species